UACGGAGGGUGCAAGCGUUAUCCGGAUUCACUGGGUUUAAAGGGUGCGUAGGUGGGCAGUUAAGUCAGUGGUGAAAUCUCCGGGCUUAACCCGGAAACUGCCAUUGAUACUAUCUGUCUUGAAUACCGUGGAGGUGAGCGGAAUAUGUCAUGUAGCGGUGAAAUGCUUAGAUAUGACAUAGAACACCAAUUGCGAAGGCAGCUCACUACACGAAUAUUGACACUGAGGCACGAAAGCAUGGGGAUCAAACAGG
rnacentral:rRNA from 1 species